AGGGGAUGCAGGAUGCAGCAGGGGGCUCAGGGCAGGACGUUGGGGUGCAGAAGGGGUGUGGGAUGUGGCAGGAGGCUCAGGGCAGGGGGUUGGGGUAUGGGGUGCAGGCUCCAGCCCAGCACCGCUUACCUAGAGUGGCUCCGGAGUGGCAGCGGUGUGCACCGGGGUCAGGGCAGGCUCCUUGCCUGCCCGCCUGCCCUGGCCCCUGGCCCUGCGCUGCUCCGUUCCAGGAAGCAGCUGGAACUGUGUCCCUGCAGCCCUUGGGGGAGGGGGAGGGGCUCAGGGCUCUAUGCGUGCGCUGCUCUUGCUGCUCCUCUAGGUACCUCCCACAAAGCUCCCAUUGGCCACGCUUCCCUGUUCCCAGCCAAUGGGAGCUGUGGGGGGUGGUGCCUGGAAGGAGCCAAUGCAGGAGCCCUCUGCCUCCUUCCCUUUCCCCCCCAGCCCAAAGGGGCGUGCUGCCAGCUGCUUCAGACAGCGACACGGGGCUCGCAACAUCACAGGGGGCAAUCUCACAGAUAUGAAGCCUUCACUGUCCCAUGGGAGGAAAAGAAGCAGACAUCGCAAUGGAGGGAAGUCAGGGGCUGAUGAAGAGAACUUCCAGGAAAACAAGUCCCUUGGAAAGUCAGGAAUGGACUAUCUCAUGUUAAGCCAGAGGGCCACCAUACUGUCAAGGGAUGACUAGCUGUUGCAGCAAUAUGGAUGUGUUAGUCUGACAAAGCAAGUUGAUGAACAUGGCCAAUUAUAAGGGAGCUGCUGUGGUUGACUGACUUCCUUCCCCGGCUGUAUUCAGUUAUUUCAGGUCCCUCAGAUACCUGCUGACGUUUUCAGAUUUUAAAAAUUCCAUAUAAACCUUCCAAGAGAUCAGCAGAAACUCUCCUGCAGACAACCGACUGCCUAGUAAGAAAUACGUGCUUCCAAUUAGCUAUCUACUUUAGGAUUUGAGUGAGUAGCUUGCCACCAUUCAUUAUUUCCCACACUGGGGAAGAGGUGAAGAGAAACUGCAAUGCAAAGGCAAGGAUGGAGAGGCGAUUGAAGGGAACUAGAGAGGCCAGCGGUUUGGGUGCAGCAUGAAGCAGGAGCAAGGGUGAAAGCUGU